UUCUUUAAUCAAUUUUCAGCUGAAAAGAAAGGAGAAAAGGCUCACAACCCAAUUCCUAAACACCUCUUUCCCAUGCCCAACCAACCGACCACCGGCCCAAAACCCGCAAACCACCCCACCCCACCUUACAACUUUCCCCUUUAAUCGAUUAAACCGCAGCAAUAUUAGUAAUACAAUACCGACACAACCCCAGCAUCAAUGGUACAAAAACAGUGACAACACCAUCAACCAGGAAUGUUCAGACCAAUGGAUAAUUAAGAAUCCGAUGGUUUUUUGUCUCCCCUCCCAUCUGUCCUCUCAUGUCACCAUCAUCCAUCUCUCUCCAUCAUUUUUCUAAAGAAAAAACUGAGCCAAAAUCUGCAAUUUUGGGAGAAGAUGAGAAAAUUCAAAAAUCCAUCAAAUUCAAGGUGUUUUUCCUUCGAUUUGAAGCUUAAACCGAUGGGUCCAACAUAUCCACCUCUAAUACAUCACUUUCCCUAAAAAUCAACUGAAAAUAUGACCCCUUUCUCUUUCUUAUUUCUCUUCAUCGAUAACUCUCUGAUUUUCUCCUGCAAUUGGUGUUCUCAAGAACAUCAAAAUUCAAAUUUAUUUGAAUUUUUUUAAAGACUUCCUUGAAAAGUCGUUGCAGCCCCUUUACCUAUAAUAGGGGAGUCUUUUUCAUAUGGGAAGAGGAGGGGUUAGCAAUUAUAAAAUUGGCAAAGACAUCAGAAAUUUGUUCUACUAUUUCUUCUUAUUUCUCUUUUCCUCUUUUAAAAAUUGGAGUUCGUGUUUGAAUCUACGACGGAGAAGCCUUAGUUUGUUGCUCCGCAAAGGUCCAUCGGACUUCCAUCUAUUAUAUUUCGUUGGGUUAAAACCAACCUCCACCGAGUCAAUGCCUCCGCGUUUGGGGUCUUAUGGCAUGACUCUGCCCCUGUCCAUAUCAGAGAAGCAAACAAUAAUCGCAUUACGUAUCUCUGUCUAGCAAGCUUUCAAGAAGAGAUCUACUCUACUGUUGUUUGCCGGAGCUGGUGGUGUACAAUCUUUUGAAUCUAAAAACAUCUUCGUUGCAUUCAAUAUUUCAACAAGAUUCCGGCAACCCCCCGAUCUUCUUCUCCAUCAAGCUCAAGCAAAAAACAAGUUUUGGGGUUGUUUCAGAGAUAACUGAUCGUCACGUCGUCACACCAAGGCCUUUGCCGGCUGGAGCAACCAUUUCUCUUCUCUGCUCAACUAUUUGUUUGUUUGGUCAUUGAUUGAUUUACACCGCCAGUCACAAAACCAACGGAGAACCAGUAAACAAAAACCAGCCAAUCACAAAUACCGUUUUGCUCA